UACAUAGGCAGCAAGCGUUGUUCGGAGUUACUGGGCGUAAAGAGUGCGUAGGCGGUCGUUUAAGUUUGGUGUGAAAUCUCCCGGCUCAACUGGGAGGGUGCGCCGAAAACUGGACGGCUUGAGGAUGGGAGAGGCAUGCGGAAUUCCUGGUGUAGCGGUGAAAUGCGUAGAUAUCAGGAGGAACACCUGCGGUGUAGACAGCAUGCUGGACCAUUUCUGACGCUGAGGCACGAAAGCGUGGGUAGCAAGCAGG
rnacentral:rRNA from 1 species